GGUAAAAUGGCUGAGUUAAGGCAAUAAAUUGUAAAUUUAUUUACGGAGAUAAUCCUUUUAUCA
rnacentral:tRNA from 1 species